CCACACCCCCACCCCCCACCCCCAGGGCUUGAUCUCUGCCAGGGGCAGAAAAGAAAACAGCGAAUUAUUACAAAAACAUCUCCAGUUUGGAGCAGGGAGCAUAAGCUCCGAUACACUCGAUUUUGACAUCAAUUAAGUGUGUAACCAGACAUGUGCACGUGGCUUUGGAGGGUCUCGCGUCGCCCAGGGUGCUUCUCCAGAAAGGGCUGCCGGCUCUCGCGCUGCCCGCAGCUCAGCGCAGCUGAUCCGGAAGACAGUCUCUGCUCAGUGUCUUUUUUUUCCCCCCAGCAAUUAUACUCCUCCACUGAAAUCUAAAUUUUCCAUACUGCUGCCUGCUACUAAUAAAAGCCGUCUACCUUGCACUAUUAAACAGUCGAAUCGUACUACAUGCUGUUUUUAUUGGUGGUGACUGUAGCAAAUUAAAAUGCCUACGCAGAGACAUUAACAUUUACUCUCUGCAUUGUUACCGGGAUAUAUAAACUCCGUUUCGCUUUAAAGCACUCUGAUUUUUUUUUUUAAUAUAUAAAAUCACUUUCCCUUUUCUUAAAGUUGGCUCGGUCUUCUUUUCUAAAAACUCAAUCGAAAGAACAGGCUGCAAAUGCGGAGGCUCGACGCGAUGGCUGGGCGCGCGGCCGCCUGCGAGGAUGGCCUGGAAUCCUGCAACUGCGUCUCGGGUCACCGCGGGGAGCUCCCGGACCCCGCGGCCGCCGCUUUCGGGGAGCAGGACCUGGAUGCUCCGCUCACGGGCGAGGAGGCUGUUUAGGCCUGUGGAGCGCCGGAGUCUGAACGGACACUGGGCCUCUGUCACUUUCGGUUGCCCUCCUCACCGGGAUGGAAGAGAAAGGGCCGGCGCGCGGGCCAACCGGUGGCCGGUGCUUUUGGAACGAGUUGGCGAGGACACUCGUGUUUCCGGGAACCGCGGUUUCCUGGAGGCCGAGCUCUGGGAAACGGCGGCCUGGGGCUCUAGAUCCUCCUCGGAAAGCAGCGGUGGCGCAGACCGAGGCGCCCUCCACUCCUUGCCCGGGACUCCCGGGAGGCGGGAAGGCCCAGCGGCAAUGCGGCCCGAAGUCGUGCGCACGGGCGGCGAGGGGGCGCUGUGGCCCGCGGAUGCCGCCUCGUCCCCGCCGCGGUGGGCCUGGCGCCGUCCCCAGCCACUGAGGGCGCCCCGGCCCGGCCUCCCCCACGUCGAUUGCAUUCGGGGCAAACGGACAGCAACACUGGAGCGCUUGAAUAAAGCCUAGCCGAGCCCGGCUUCUCUCUCUCUUCCCGCCUUUUGCCCUGUCUUGGGAGUUUUAAGAGUUGGGUGGGCAAAGAGGUACCAUCUUGGAGCGUGUAGAUAUGCCGAGGGGAGGGGGUCAAUUAAGAUUUAAAAAGACACAUUUUACGUGGUUCCUCUUCGUGAAGUUCUGUGUCAAGUGGAAGUGGUUUCCAUGUAUAGGGGACCUGUCCCCUCUGAUGUCGCUCUUCCUGGGGGACUGUGGAGCGAGUGGCAUCAGAAACUGGCAAGAAGAGCCGCGAGUCCGGGUCUGUGUUUUCUUUUUUGGGAAACAGGAACACUUCGCUGUAAACUGUACAGAGUUUAAGUCAAAUGAACCGUGAAUGCCUUCCAAGCGGGGUCGAGCCCGCUCGCGGGUCUCUGGACACUUUGGCCUUUCGAAGCUCUGACACGGUCUUCUGAUGCGGCCACGUGUGUCUGCAAAACACCGCGGGAGGCGAAGCGCGGGGGGUCCCCGCCGCUCCAGUCAAGGAACCUGGAGCGCGGACGCGGCCCCUGGGUUUCCACCGGCCCGAAAGACUCGGGCCCCGCGGGCAGUGCCGCGGGAGGGGUCCCUGGACCGGGGCGCGCUCUUUUGUACGUUCUGGGCUCAGCCUGAGACCCGGUUCUAGCACCACGGCCCAGCCCCUGAGGUCGGAGGACUAGAACUGUGCUGGCCGCUAACGUGUCCCUCCUGGUUUCGUUCAGCGGCCGCACACGGCCCAUCCUCUCCGCGAACGCCCCGCCUCCGACCCGCUUCCUGAAGUUUCUCCCGCGCCGCGGCCCAGGAAUCAGCAUCCUUCGCCUCUUCUCCGCAUCCCGUGCUUCCAUCGCUCCGGUUCUUCCCUUCCCCCCGCGAACCCCGACCCGCAGCCCCUUUGGGCGAGCCGUGCGCGCGUCCCCGGGCUCAGGUCCCCGCCGGUGUCCGCGUCCCCAGCUGGGAGCGCCGAGCGGGGGUGAGCGGAAGGGUGGCGGUGCGCGGGCGG
rnacentral:lncRNA from 1 species